CCCUUAAAUGUUCUGGGCCGCACGCGCGCUACACUGAUGCAUUCAACAAGCCUAGCCUUGACCGAGAGGUCCGGGUAAUCUUUGAAACUGCAUCGUGAUGGGGCUAGAUUAUUGCAAUUAUUAAUCUUCAACGAGGAAUGCCUAGUAAGCGUGAUUCAUCAAAUCGCGUUGAUUACGUCCCUGCCCUUUGUACACACCGCCCGUCGCUCCUACCGAUUGAAUGUGUUGGUGAGGAGCUCGGAUUGGCAGCAGUUGGUGGUUCGCCACCGGCUAUUGCUGAGAAGUCCUCCAAACCGCCCCAUUUAGAGGAAGGAGAAGUCGUAACA
rnacentral:rRNA from 1 species